UUGAACGCUGGCGGUAUGCUUAACACAUGCAAGUCGAACGGAAACGAUACUAGCUUGCUAGUAGGCGUCGAGUGGCGGACGGGUGAGUAACGCGUAGGAAUCUGCCUGAUAGUGGGGGAUAGCCCGAAGAAAUUCGGAUUAAUACCGCAUAAUCUAUUCGUAGUAAAGUGGGGGACUUUCGAGCCUCACGCUAUCAGAUGAGCCUGCGUAAGAUUAGCUUGUUGGUAGGGUAAAAGCCUACCAAGGCGACGAUCUUUAGCUGGUCUGAGAGGAUGAUCAGCCACAUCGGGACUGAGACACGGCCCGAACUCCUACGGGAGGCAGCAGUGGGGAAUAUUGGACAAUGGGGGCAACCCUGAUCCAGCAAUACCGCGUGUGUGAAGAAGGCCUGAGGGUUGUAAAGCACUUUCAAUUGUGAAGAAAAGUUAGCGGUUAAUAACCGUUAGCCUUGACGUUAACUUUAGAAGAAGCACCGGCUAACUCCGUGCCAGCAGCCGCGGUAAUACGGAGGGUGCAAGCGUUAAUCGGAAUUACUGGGCGUAAAGCGUGCGUAGGCGGUUUAUUAAGUCAGAUGUGAAAGCCCCGGGCUUAACCUGGGAACUGCAUUUGAAACUGGUCAACUAGAGUAUGGUAGAGGAAAGUGGAAUUUCUGGUGUAGCGGUGAAAUGCGUAGAUAUCAGAAAGGAACAUCAAUGGCGAAGGCAGCUUUCUGGACCAAUACUGACGCUGAGGUACGAAAGCGUGGGUAGCAAACAGGAUUAGAUACCCUGGUAGUCCACGCCGUAAACGAUGAUAACUAGCCGUUGGGGGGAUUUACCCUUUAGUGGCGAAGCUAACGCGUUAAGUUAUCCGCCUGGGGAGUACGGCCGCAAGGUUAAAACUCAAAGGAAUUGACGGGGACCCGCACAAGCGGUGGAGCAUGUGGUUUAAUUCGAUGCAACGCGAAGAACCUUACCUGGUCUUGACAUCCUGCGAACUUUCUAGAAAUAGAUUGGUGCCUUCGGGAACGCAGUGACAGGUGCUGCAUGGCUGUCGUCAGCUCGUGUCGUGAGAUGUUGGGUUAAGUCCCGUAACGAGCGCAACCCCUAUCCUUAUUUGCCAGCACAUCAUGGUGGGAACUAUAAGGAGACUGCCGGUGAUAAACCGGAGGAAGGCGGGGACGACGUCAAGUCAUCAUGGCCCUUACGACCAGGGCUACACACGUGCUACAAUGGGAAGGACAAAGAGCCGCGAAGCCGCGAGGUGUAGCUAAUCUCAUAAACCUUUUCGUAGUCCGGAUUGGAGUCUGCAACUCGACUCCAUGAAGUCGGAAUCGCUAGUAAUCGUAGAUCAGAAUGCUACGGUGAAUACGUUCCCGGGUCUUGUACACACCGCCCG
rnacentral:rRNA from 1 species